AGCAGUUCUUCUUGCUUCAGUUGCUUUUCAUGAACAAGUAGUUAAGCCUGGUGCAGAAACAGUGAUUACCCUCUCCCUUCUAUCUCAACUGCCCCUUAACGUUGAAAUUGAUCAAUUAGAAAUCCAAUUUAAUCAGUCGGAGUGUAACUUUGUCAUUGUUAAUGCUCAAAGAUCCCAUUUAGCUGCAAUAUCCUGUUUGCAGCCUGGUCGUCGAGUGGAGACAGCUCCCACCCUGGAACUUCACACAAACAAAUGGCUGCGGCUCACAUACGACGUGAAACCUGAGCAAAGCGGAAAGCUGGAAUGCAUAUAUGUAACUGCAAGAUGGGGUCAACAUUUUACUAUCUGUUGCCGAGCUGAAAGUCCGGCCUCCAUGAGUGAUUUACCCCUAUGGAAAUUUGAAGA
rnacentral:misc_RNA from 1 species